UAGGGAAUCUUCCGCAAUGGACGAAAGUCUGACGGAGCAACGCCGCGUGAGCGAAGAAGGCCUUCGGGUCGUAAAGCUCUGUUGUAAGGGAAGAACAAGUGCCAUUUAACUGAUGGCACCUUGACGGUACCUUGCGAGAAAGCCACGGCUAACUACGUGCCAGCAGCCGCGGUAAUACGUAGGUGGCAAGCGUUGUCCGGAUUUAUUGGGCGUAAAGCGCGCGCAGGGCGGUCCUUUAAGUCUGAUGUGAAAGCCCACGGCUCAACCGUGGAGGGUCAUUGGAAACUGGGGGACUUGAGUGCAGAAGAGGAAAGCGGAAUUCCACGUGUAGCGGUGAAAUGCGUAGAGAUGUGGAGGAACACCAGUGGCGAAGGCGGCUUUCUGGUCUGUAACUGACGCUGAGGCGCGAAAGCGUGGGGAGCAAACAGGAUUAGAUACCCUGGUAGUCCACGCCGUAAACGAUGAGUGCUAAGUGUUAGGGGGUUUCCGCCCCUUAGUGCUGCAGCUAACGCAUUAAGC
rnacentral:rRNA from 1 species